AAAUUGCAAGACAUAUCUUUCACCAACAGCUGCUGCAGUCUUUCGACAUCCCCUUCCUCUUCCUGGGUGGCCCCUUCGAGUGGGAUAUUAAUAUUAGGAGGAUUGUAAGCGGUGACCACACCAUGAGAAACGGCUUUGGGCGUUUCCAGCGAAAUCGCUCAGAGCCGUUUCUCAUGUUGUGGUCACCUCGCGUAUAUUCCCACUAAUGCCCCUUUCAGAGAGCCACCUCCACCAUCACGUGACCCAUUCUCAAAUCUCUUCCCGGCCGCCCGCCCGCCUCCCUCCCUCUCUUUGCUCGCUUGCUUACAUUCCCACAUGCAUGAUUCCUGUGCCUGCCACCAUGAGUGUGUCUGUCAGCCAGCCACAGAGAGAGAGAGAGAGAGAGAGACGUCCCACCAAUGCCCAUCUUGCAUCCCAUAUAAACCCCACGCCCCACCACCAAAAGGCCACCAAGCAACUUCUUCUUCUUCUUCCUCUUCUUCUCUUCAUCUUCUUAUCUAGUUUUAUCGAAGACCCACAACCCAAAAGGCGAGUCAUGGAGAGGCUCAACACGCAACUGUACUUGCAGAACUGCUACAUCAUGAAGGAGAACGAGAGGCUGAGGAAGAAAGCA